GACGAACGCUGGCGGCGUGCUUAACACAUGCAAGUCGAACGAAGUGGCGAACGGGUGAGUAACGCGUAAUCAACCGGCCCUUCAGAGGGGGACAACAGUGGGAAACGAAUGCUAAUACCGCAUACGGAAGGAGGGGAUUGCGUCUGAUUAGCUAUGUGGAGGGGUAACGGCCCACCAAGGCGAUGAGUAGUAGCCGGUCUGAGAGGGUGAACGGCCCAAUUGGGACUGGGACACGGCCCAGACUCCUACGGGAGGCAGCAGUGGGGAAUUUUCCGCAAUGGACGAAAGUCUGACGGAGCAACGCCGCGUGGGUGAUGACGGCCUUCGGGUUGUAAAGCUCUGUUAAUCGGGACGCGGUACCGGAAUAGAAAGCAACGGCUAACUACGUGCCAGCAGCCGCGGUAAUAC
rnacentral:rRNA from 1 species